UACGUAGGGUGCAAGCGUUAAUCGGAAUUACUGGGCGUAAAGCGUGCGCAGGCGGUUUUGUAAGACAGGUGUGAAAUCCCCGGGCUUAACCUGGGAACUGCAUUUGUGACUGCAGAGCUGGAGUGCGGCAGAGGGGGAUGGAAUUCCGCGUGUAGCAGUGAAAUGCGUAGAUAUGCGGAGGAACACCGAUGGCGAAGGCAAUCCCCUGGGCCUGCACUGACGCUCAUGCACGAAAGCGUGGGGAGCAAACAGG
rnacentral:rRNA from 1 species